rfam:Roseburia sp. CAG:45 genomic scaffold, scf36
UAAACAAGCCUGUUAGGAGGUCUUGGCAUUCUGUUAUGCAACCGGCAAUGCAGGCACAUAGAUGUGCCUGCAAGGCGCAGUUGAAUAUGGAUAUGAAUUUGCGCCGGUUGCCGGAAUCAUAAACUUAUUUGUCAGAAUGCCUAGACCUCCUUACGGGUUUGUGGA